GCUGAUUCCCUGAGACCCUAAUUUGUGACUGUCGAUUAAGUUUCACAAAUUUCGAUCUCCGGUAUUGG
rnacentral:pre_miRNA from 1 species